rnacentral:rRNA from 1 species
AUUGAACGCUGGCGGCAUGCCUUACACAUGCAAGUCGAACGGCAGCACGGGGGCAACCCUGGUGGCGAGUGGCGAACGGGUGAGUAACGCAUCGGAAUGUACCCAGUAGUGGGGGAUAACUAGUCGAAAGACUAGCUAAUACCGCAUACGCACUGAGGUGGAAAGCGGGGGAUCGCAAGACCUCGCGCUAUUGGAGCAGCCGAUGUCCGAUUAGGUAGUUGGUGGGGUAAAGGCCUACCAAGCCUGCGAUCGGUAACUGGUCUGAGAGGACGACCAGUCACACUGGGACUGAGACACGGCCCAGACUCCUACGGGAGGCAGCAGUGGGGAAUUUUGGACAAUGGGCGCAAGCCUGAUCCAGCAAUGCCGCGUGUGUGAAGAAGGCCUUCGGGUUGUAAAGCACUUUUGGUCGGGAGCGAAACGGCGUUUGCUAAUACCAGACGCUAAUGACGGUACCCGCAGAAUAAGCACCGGCUAACUACGUGCCAGCAGCCGCGGUAA